UACGGAAGGCAGCAGUGGGGAAUAUUGCACAAUGGGCGCAAGCCUGAUGCAGCCAUGCCGCGUGUAUGAAGAAGGCCUUCGGGUUGUAAAGUACUUUCAGCGGGGAGGAAGGCGAUGCGGUUAAUAACCGCGUCGAUUGACGUUACCCGCAGAAGAAGCACCGGCUAACUCCGUGCCAGCAGCCGCGGUAAUACGGAGGGUGCAAGCGUUAAUCGGAAUUACUGGGCGUAAAGCGCACGCAGGCGGUCUGUUAAGUCAGAUGUGAAAUCCCCCGGGCUUAACCUGGGAACUGCAUUUUGAAACUGGCAGGCUUGAGUCUUGUAGAGGGGGUAGAAUUCCAGGUGUAGCGGUGAAAUGCGUAGAGAUCUGGAGGAAUACCGGUGGCGAAGGCGGCCCCUGGGACAAAGACUGACGCUCAGGGUGCGAAAGCGUGGGGAGCAAACAGGGAUUAGAUACC
rnacentral:rRNA from 1 species